CGGGUACGGGUUGUGAGAGCAAGAGCCCGGAGAUGGAUUCUGAGACAUGAAUCCAGGCCCUACGGGGCGCAGCAGGCGCGAAAACUUUACAAUGCGGGAAACCGUGAUAAGGGGACACCGAGUGCCAGCGUCAUACGCUGGCUGUCCAGGUGUGUAAAAUACACCUGUUAGCAAGGGCCGGGCAAGACCGGUGCCAGCCGCCGCGGUAACACCGGCGGCCCGAGUGGUGAUCGUGAUUAUUGGGUCUAAAGGGUCCGUAGCCGGUUUGGUCAGUCCUCCGGGAAAUCUGAUAGCUCAACUAUUAGGCUUUCGGGGGAUACUGCCAGGCUUGGAACCGGGAGAGGUAAGAGGUACUACAGGGGUAGGAGUGAAAUCUUGUAAUCCCUGUGGGACCACCUGUGGCGAAGGCGUCUUACCAGAACGGGUUCGACGGUGAGGGACGAAAGCUGGGGGCACGAACCGGAUUAGAUACCCGGGUAGUCCCAGCCGUAAACGAUGCUCGCUAGGUGUCAGGCAUGGCGCGACCGUGUCUGGUGCCG
rnacentral:rRNA from 1 species